CGCAGCCGCGGUAAUUCCAGCUCCAAUAGCGUAUAUUAAAGUUGUUGCAGUUAAAAAGCUCGUAGUUGAAUUUCGGGGUUUAUCCGUUGGUCGGGCUUUUUGGUCUGUACUGGCGUGAUGGAUUCCUACCUUCUGAAUAACCGGCAUGCCAUUAAUUUGGUGCGCCGGGGAAGCAGGACUGUUACCUUGAAAAAAUUAGAGUGCUUAAAGCAGGCUUAUUCCUAAAUACAUUAGCAUGGAAUAAUGAAAUAGGACGGCAUGGUUCUAUUUUGUUGGUUUCUAGGAUCACCGUAAUGAUUAAUAGGGAUAGUUGGGGGGCAUUAGUAUUCAAUUGUCAGAGGUGAAAUUCUUGGAUUUAUUGAAGACUAACUUCUGCGAAAGCAUUUGCCAAGGAUGUUUUCAUUAAUCAAGAACGAAAGUUAGGGGAUCGAAGACGAUCAGAUACCGUCGUAGUCUUAACCAUAAACUAUGCCGACUAGGGAUCGGACGAUGUUAAUUUUUUAAUGACUCGUUCGGCGCC
rnacentral:rRNA from 1 species